UACAGAGGUCUCAAGCGUUGUUCGGAUUCAUUGGGCGUAAAGGGUGCGUAGGUGGCGUCGUAAGUCGGGUGUGAAAUCUCGGAGCUUAACUCCGAAACUGCAUUCGAUACUGCCGUGCUUGAGGACUGGAGAGGAGACUGGAAUUUACGGUGUAGCGGUGAAAUGCGUAGAUAUCGUAAGGAAGACCAGUGGCGAAGGCGGGUCUCUGGACAGUUCCUGACGCUGAGGCACGAAGGCCAGGGGAGCAAACGGG
rnacentral:rRNA from 1 species